rnacentral:rRNA from 1 species
GCGGAGGAAAAGAAACCAACAGGGAUUGCCCUAGUAACGGCGAGUGAAGCGGCAACAGCUCAAAUUUGAAAUCUGGCUUCGGCCCGAGUUGUAAUUUGCAGAGGAAGCUUUAGGCGCGGCACCUCCUGAGUCCCCUGGAACGGGGCGCCACAGAGGGUGAGAGCCCCGUAUAGUUGGAUGCCUAGCCUGUGUAAAGCUCCUUCGACGAGUCGAGUAGUUUGGGAAUGCUGCUCAAAAUGGGAGGUAAAUUUCUUCUAAAGCUAAAUACCGGCCAGAGACCGAUAGCGCACAAGUAGAGUGAUCGAAAGAUGAAAAGCACUUUGAAAAGAGGGUUAAAUAGCACGUGAAAUUGUUGAAAGGGAAGCGCUUGUGACCAGACUUGCGCCGGGCUGAUCAUCCGGUGUUCUCACCGGUGCACUCUGCCCGGCUCAGGCCAGCAUCGGUUCUCGCGGGGGGAUAAAGGCCCUGGGAACGUAGCUCCUCCGGGAGUGUUAUAGCCCGGGGCGCAAUGCCCUCGCGGGGACCGAGGUUCGCGCUCUGCAAGGAUGCUGGCGUAAUGGUCAUCAGCGACCCGUCUUGAAACACGGACCAAGGAGUCAAGGUUUUGCGCGAGUGUUUGGGUGUAAAACCCGCACGCGUAAUGAAAGUGAACGUAGGUGAGAGCUUCGGCGCAUCAUCGACCGAUCCUGAUGUUCUCGGAUGGAUUUGAGUAGGAGCGUUAAGCCUUGGACCCGAAAGAUGGUGAACUAUGCUUGGAUAGGGUGAAGCCAGAGGAAACUCUGGUGGAGGCUCGCAGCGGUUCUGACGUGCAAAUCGAUCGUCAAAUCUGAGCAUGGGGGCGAAAGACUAAUCGAACCAUCUAGUAGCUGGUUACCGCCGAAU